rnacentral:tRNA from 2 species
GGGCGAGUGGUGAAAUCGGUAGACACGCCAGACUUAGGAUCUGGUGCCGUAAGGCGUAGGAGUUCGAGUCUCCUCUCGCCCACCA